AGCGAACGCUGGCGGCAGGCUUAACACAUGCAAGUCGAACGGGCACUUCGGUGUCAGUGGCAGACGGGUGAGUAACACGUGGGAACGUACCGUUUGGUUCGGAACAACUGAGGGAAACUUCAGCUAAUACCGGAUAAGCCCUUACGGGGAGAGAUUUAUCGCCGAAAGAUCGGCCCGCGUCUGAUUAGCUAGUUGGUAGGGUAAUGGCCUACCAAGGCGACGAUCAGUAGCUGGUCUGAGAGGAUGAUCAGCCACAUUGGGACUGAGCACACGGCCCAAACUCCUACGGGAGGCAGCAGUGGGGAAUAUUGGACAAUGGGGGCAACCCUGAUCCAGCCAUGCCGCGUGAGUGAUGAAGGCCCUAGGGUUGUAAAGCUCUUUUGUGCGGGAAGAUAAUGACGGUACCGCAAGAAUAAGCCCCGGCUAACUUCGUGCCAGCCGCCGCGGUAA
rnacentral:rRNA from 1 species